GCUGCAGGAGUUGGACGUGGGACAGUGGGAUAUUCAUGCACUCUCGGAGGCUCUCGUUCGGUACCUGCAGGAACUUCCUGCCCCCAUCAUCCCUCCCUCUGUUUAUACAGACCUUCAGGCAGCAGUGCAACUAGAAUCAGACGUUUCCUCCGUGAGGAGACGAGAGCAGCUGCUGCAGGUACUGGAGAAGCCUGAAGUUCCACUGCAGAACCUUCUGACGCUGCAUUAUUUGCUCAAACACCUGGAGAAGGUCUGCCAGCGCGCUGCGCAGAACGGCCUCGACAUUCACACCCUCGGCCAAAUCUUUGGCCCUCUGUUGAUCAGGGGCCCUGGGAGUGGGUCAGAGGAAGAUGAGGGGUUUCCCGCGAUUGCAGUUGAGAGACUUCUUUUGGAGAGAAUUUGGGAACAAGAGCCGACUC